rnacentral:rRNA from 1 species
AGUGAACGCUGGCGGCAGGCCUAACACAUGCAAGUCGAACGGCAGCACAGUAAGAGCUUGCUCUUACGGGUGGCGAGUGGCGGACGGGUGAGGAAUACAUCGGAAUCUACUUUUUCGUGGGGGAUAACGUAGGGAAAUUUACGCUAAUACCGCAUACGAUCUACGGGUGAAAGCAGGGGAUCUUCGGACCUUGCGCGAUUGAAUGAGCCGAUGUCGGAUUAGCUAGUUGGCGGGGUAAAGGCCCACCAAGGCGACGAUCCGUAGCUGGUCUGAGAGGAUGGUCAGCCACACUGGAACUGAGACACGGUCCCGACUCCUACGGGAGGCAGCAGUGGGGAAUAUUGGACAAUGGGCGCAAGCCUGAUCCAGCCAUACCGCGUGGGUGAAGAAGGCCUUCGGGUUGUAAAGCCCUUUUGUUGGGAAAGAAAAGCAGCAGGUUAAUACCCCGCUGUUCUGACGGUACCCAAAGAAUAAGCACCGGCUAACUUCGUG